rnacentral:rRNA from 1 species
UACAGAGGGUGCGAGCGUUGUCCGGAAUUACUGGGCGUAAAGGGCGCGUAGGCGGCCUGAUAAGUAGGGGGUGAAAUCUCGCGGCUCAACCGGGAGGCUGCCUUCUAGACUGUCAGGCUUGAGCACGGUAGAGGCAGAUGGAAUUCCCGGUGUAGCGGUGGCAUGCGUAGAGAUCGGGAAGAACCCCAGUGGCGAAGGCGAUCUGCUGGUCCGUUGCUGUCGCUGAGGCGCGACAGCGUGGGGAGCAAACAGG